UAGCUCAGUUGGUAGAGCAUAACCUUGCCAAGGUUGGGGUCGCGAGUUCGAGUCUCGUUUCCCGCUCCA
rnacentral:tRNA from 8 species